rnacentral:rRNA from 2 species
UAUCUAGGUGCACAAGCUAGACGGGACCCACGCCAAUCCAUCCCGAACUUGGUUGUGAAAUCGUCUAGGAACUAAAAUACUGCAGGGGGGGCCCUGUGGGAAAAACGUUUUGUGCCUGGAUA